GUUUCCGUAGGUGAACCUGCGGAAGGAUCAUUAUUGUAUAACCGAGGUGCGAGGGCUGUCGCUGACCCGAAAGGUCGUGCACGCCCAAGUGCCCUCACACACAUCCAUCUCACCCCUAUGUGCACCACCGCGUGGGUCCCCCUUUGGCUUGUUCGGAGGGGGGCUUACGUUUUCACACAAACUCUGUAUGCAGUGUAGAAUGUAUUUUUUGUUUUUGCGAUCACGCAAUCAAUACAACUUUCAACAACGGAUCUCUUGGCUCUC
rnacentral:misc_RNA from 1 species